CUAGGUUUGUGGCAGAACAUUUUUUAGCCAUAAUAAAUGUUUUAGAGUUUCGUGCAGUCACAUACAUGUGUGGAUAUAAUUUGGAUAUAAUUUUAUGUGUACAAGACACGCUUCCAUGCUUAUUGCUGGAAAUUUUCCUUCUGUGUCUUCAAAUCAUGGAAACAAAUUCUGUUACCACACUGAUUGUUGCCCUUUUUGGGUUAGUACCAAAAUCCGGGCUUUACUAAAUGAUACCACCAGGAUUUUGGUUGGUUGUUUUGAAUUGCAGUUUCAGAACCAGGAACAUCCAGUUGGAUCUCUUUGCAGAAUGCUUUAGCAUUAGUACCUGAAGUUUUUCCUCCACACCAACAUGCUGCACCAACUAGGACAUGCUGGGAUUUCCUUUUGACGCUUCCCACAGGGACCAUUCCGGCUGCUGCUUCUCACUGCCUGUUCGGAUAGGCUCUGGGGGCCACCUCAGGUUAGGAAAUGCUCUCUGUAAAUAACGGUGUCUUAAAGUUGAGACUUUGCAGCUGUUGGAGAGGUUCCUACAGUGAGCUCUUAAUCAUUUUCUACUAAGCUAGAGGCCUGAUGGAGAAGACGCCAGCCUGCCAGAGCUCUUCCACUGGCAAAGCAGCGGGGUGAGCAUUGGGGUGGGACCGAGCCCCUGCUCGUGCAGGUGACACGGCCGCGUGCCUUUGCUGUGGCUCUGCCUGCUUGCUGCAGGGUCAGCUCAUGGCACCACUGCUGCAAAGGUGGGGGAACUGCAGCAGUGUGAAAUGAAACUGCUUAAUUGCAACUCCACAAAGUUUUAACUUGGCUUUUAGCAUUUUUUUUUCCACCGUUGCUAAAAUAAUUCUUGGGGAGAAAUAAAUAAUGUUAUUUGUUUUCAAUUUCCCAGCUUACACUUGAAACAUAAGUAAAUGCACAUGUAUGUUUUUUCUAUACAAUAUAACUUUGAACCAAGUAUUAAAAAUAUUUCAUUUAUGCAAUGACUAGGUGCAUUAAUUGCUGUUUUCAGAAGCUGGAAUAGCUGAAAUGGUUAUCAGACUCAAGUCCAAAUCUACAGGCAUAAAUGUCAUCUCUUGUUUUACAUGGGAAGACAAAAUUGAUUUCAAAAUCCUGUUUUCAAUUCUGGACACAGAACAUUAGAAACGAGGAGUUUGCUCAGGCUUCUCAGAAGUGUUGGCUUAGUGAGAUUCUUUGCUAUGCUUUGGGUUUCAAGAUGGUGUUGCAUACAAGCAACGUGAGAAGACAAGGUCUGGAAGGAGAAAUAAUACAUUCAUUGCAGAAUCACAUGGAUUCAGAGGUGCAAUCCUGAAGAAAGAGUAUUCUGAGUACUGAAGAAGAGUAUCCCGCUAUUCUCUGAAGCCACUGUCUGGUACAGGAAAUGGUAAACUUCGGGACAGACCCAGUAGCUUGAGCCAUGCACACAGCAAUAGCAGAAGCAAAAGUUCUUUACAAGGAACCAGCUUUUGACCAGUGAGAGAGGGGAAACAUCCCCAUGGUAUAAGGAAGAUUCUCAAGAUUUUUCAACAGAAGAUAAAGGAAAAAAGAGAUGGUGGGAAGCUGCGUCACACUGGGGAGGCUGAUGGAGAUCACUGGAUGAGCAGCUACUGAAAGGUGUGCCAGGACAGGAAACUGCAUUUGUUUUCCGCUGAGGGAGAAGCCUUUGAUGCACAGAGGUUGAUCAGACUGGGGAGUUUCUGCCAUUUCUGUGACGAGGCUGUGGGCACCUCUUGGCUGGCAGCUCCUGUACCGGUUGCUGCUGGGCACAGCGGGUGUCUGGAGAGGGCCUGGUGUAGCAACGAGGAGCACGUCCUGCUGCAUGUCCAUGGAAAUCUCUCUGAAGUUGAACCUAAUUUGGAAGAUGUUCCCUGAGCAUCCAGAAGUCUUCUAAUAAAUGAGGACCUGUCCCUUGUGUCAAAUGCUGCAUAAACUUGGAAAGAACAGCGUGUCCUGCCCCACCACGACUUGCAGACAACUGAAUUUUGUUCUUUCAAAUCUAACUAAAGGAAGCAGUGGCUGCGGUGCUAUUUGUAUGCUCCUCAACAUUAGCUGAACAGUCAAAGAAACCGACAGAAUAACCGUUGUGUGGGGCAAUUGGGCUGGGCUGGACAUGUGUCCGUGUAAGCAGCUGUUUGAAGCGUGGGAAUACCAGUGCUGGCAGCCAGUUCCUCUUCACCCGCGUGUCUCCUUGGAUAACAUCCUCACAUCACAUCACAGCGGCGUUACAGGAAGGAUGCAGGAUAUCACGUCUGCAAGCGAUACUGAAUGAAUGUUUUUUCUUUUCUUCAGGACAGUUGACCAGAAGCUUAAAAGUGGGGACAGGGAUACCUUUUCAAGUAACAGUGUGAUGGAAUGCAAGCAAGAACCUGAAAUGUUUUCUUUGAAUGUGGAUUCCUCUAUUCCAAUAAGGCCUGGUUGUCACCAGCUCUAUUUCACCACAAAGGCAUAACGCUCACUUCUCCAUGAAAUGGGAGUGUCAGAUCUAAACUCUGGCAGUUGUGACUUAAAACAGUAAAGCAGCAUUGGAAAUUCCUGAGAUAGAAACUUACUCUGUUGGGAUGUCCUGUGCAAGAAGAUUUGUCAGAGAUACCAGCCCAAGCCAUGCUCCGCCAGGCCUGCUAGCAAAGCUGACAAAGGCUCGCAAGGAGGGUAGAAAAGAGGAGGCAUCGUGUGACUCUGCAGGGCUUUAAACAGCAAUCUCUGUGAUGCCCUGAGAGAGGUUACACGAGAAGCUCUGAAUACCUGUGGUCCAGCAGAAAGCAUUUCUGAGGGACUAAGCGGCUCAGGCCAGUGGAUAGCAGUAUUACACCUGCUACAAGAAGGCACCAGUGGAGAGCUCUGAGCCUGGAGGUGAGCCUGAGCAGUCCAAGACAAAUAGACGUAGCAGGAGAUACAGACUACAAAUAGGAACAUCGUAUAGCCCAGGUAUGAAGAUGGAGAAUAAAGAUGUUAGUUGAGAAACAAAAAAUGCAUGUUGCUUGUUUGAAGCAGCAAAACAUCAGUAGGCAUCUUUGGUGGAGGCUGAAAAGUCAGCAAAGAGCAAAGGCACAAGUCGGGGGAAGACUUAAUUCUGACACCUCACCUGAACUGAUCUUCUGUUAACAGGUUUAAAGAUCCAUGUUGUUGCACUUUCCUGGAUGGAAGAGUUUCCUAGAGACUUCUCAAAAAGACAGCAAAGGGCAGACCUGCAGCUCGGAGGCCCCACUGAAGUCAAUAUGACAAACACUGCUGCUAAAAGACUUUGUUGAACUUGAGGACCAGAUUUGCAACUUCAAACAUGAGAAAUAAGUUCAGAAUAAGCACUGUACCUCACACCAGACAUCACAGGGAAUAGUACAUCUUUUUCUCCCCCUACACCCAUCCACUCAGGAUAAUCAGCCACCAAAGAAACUUUUCUCUUAGUCAUGCUGAACCUCUCUCUACCUGCUUGAAAUUCUCGUGCCCUGGUGUUCUGAGCUCUCCUCUGCUGUGCAGAGUCUCUGCUGGCCUGGGAAGAACAUCGUGGAUGCAUUUGGUGUACUCUGGUCCUCUCCGUGUUGAAUCAGUCUAACUGUCCAUGAGAGUAUUUGAAUUAAAGAGCAGCGCUCCAUGGACAGUUGUGCAGAGAAGACUGAGGGAUGGGAUUUUUUCAAAGGGAGAGGUUUCAGUGCUGGCCACUUUUGUAUUGGUUCCAAGAAGCCUGCAGUUUCUCUGCUGCCUUUUUCUGCUUGCAAACAGCAGUUUACCAGCACCCUGAGAACACCAGGGGGUAGGAUGGCCAGCAUCUUAGGUGGGCUGUUCAUCUUAUUUCUGUUAAUGGUGGGCAGAAAGCAGAAGCUGAUGUGGCUCUGUUGGCUCCAGCCCUAGAGCAAGUGCUUGGUUCAUGCGCGCUGCCCCAUCUGUGUUGUACGCAGACGGGCACUGACAGACACGCAACUUCUUGUGCCUACAAACCAGAGGAAAUCAAGGGAUAAGGGCACAUAGCGUAGAAGGGAAGAGCAUCACUGGAUUGUCACACUCACCACCAUACUCACAGGACCUCCUUUUCCUAUGAUCUCUUCCUCUGGGAAUGUUCAUUGCCCCUUUGAUGACUCUUUGCUGAGAAUACCGAAGAUGACAAAUGCUCUGUUUCAUUAUGGCAAUACAUAACUUGACUUUGAGACGGAUCACAGAUUGCUGUCUGACAUUUCUACAUUUCAACUGUUGCAAGUUUUUCAGCAAACAGUGAAGGAAGAAGACAGAGCCACCAUGUUAAAUGUUAAUUUGCUUUUCUUCUCCCUCUGGAGUCCAGAUGUGUGAACAUCUGAGCCCCUGAAGUUGCCAACAGUCAAUGCAGAUGCAUGCAAGCAAGGAGGCUGGAAGUACUGGAAGCCUUUCAGAUGUGCACAACAAAUGGAUCCAUCUGCCUUUAGAGAGCACGAAUGGGAAGAGCCUUGGGGAGAAGCUACAACAGCACAUGGAGGAGGAGGGCAGCACAGUCUGGCUGGACAUCUGCGCCAGCCGUGGUACUCCAGGGACUUGCGAGGAGGAGAGAAGCUGUGCCUGCAAGGAGCAGCUAUUCCUCCAGUGAUGCUAUUUAGAAGAGCUGGCUUGGAGAAGCCAAGCUAUUAGAGGAUGUCACCCAUACAGUGCUGCAAAUGGGAGCAGGUGUGCAGGUGCUGCAAGAACAGGGAAGAAAAAUCUGAACACACUCAAUAGUGAACUCUCAAAUGUCUCUGUCAUCAAAUGAAACACACAACCAUUCUCACCCUGAAGUGUCUGUGCCAAAUGUUAUCAUGCUUAAGAAUCAGCUGACGAUGGAGAGAGAAGAAAAUAUACCAAAGAGAGACAAACACGUCCUGAAUCAGAAAGCUCCCGUGCACGCUCACACAAUGGGAACACUGUUACAAACCAUUUCUGACUAGUUUAUGGAGCCUUCAGACAGAGAAGCUAGUGGUAAACCUGGGAAAUGCUUACAUGCUAUUUAAAGAAGUGCUGUCCUGGUCCUCACGUUGGCUGAGAUGGCUCCCUUCAUGCAGAAGGCAGUCUAAUAGACUUGCUCUUUCCACUGUGGCCAGAAAUUAGCCAAAGUCCUAAGAAAAUCGGUAUAAGAAGUAUGUUUCUGAGCUCCGGAAUGCUGAUCUGCACUGGGCCACGUGAGGCAGAACCUUGCAGGCCAAGAGAAAAGGCACUUGGGAAGUCUGCUAAACCCAGGAACAAAGGAUGGAAAAUACCAUAACAUCUGAGGUACUACUGCUGCAUCCACCUGUCUCCAGCCUCUGCAAGCCCCUCUCACUCCUACAGCUGGACCUGGGCUGCCUGACAACUCGAUUGUCUUUCAGUCAGGUUUGGCCUCCCCCGUGGCUGAAAGGUGCAUUGCUACAGUGGAACAGACUGUUCCCCGUGCACAGCUGCAGCGUGGGAUCACAAGGAGACCGGGCACAGCAGCAGGAUAUUUCCAUGCUGCAAACCAGUCCCGGGCUCUGGGGAAGAAGCUUAAAAUUGAUCCCUAGGAGUUUAACUGGAAAAAGCUGAAGGAAAGAAAAGCAUAAGCAAGCAAGGAGCAGCAGUGAGCAUGGUGAAGAUGCUGUGGUAAUGCAGGUCGAGCAGUCCUUGGUAGACCAGCGCACCACUAACAGGGAGAAGACGAGCAGAAAACCUUUAAAACUUAUUAUCACCUCCAGACGAGGCAGGCUGAAGAAGACAGAGUAGUCAGCUGUUGCAGCAGCACAGUGAGAAUGAUCUAAAUGCUGGUCCCACACUGCAGCCACUGUGACUAGGUGAGAAAAUCACAGCCUGUAGGACACCAACAUUUGAGAUUUACCCUCGGGAGACACUGUUAGCGAUUAUUAUUUGUUAUUUCCACCACAGAAGACUGGAAACCUCAAAUCUCACUGCCUUCAAUGCAAAGGAAGAGAGAACAAAACCCUACUAAUGAAAUGAACAGUGAGUGAUAUGAUUGCAAAUAAAGUGAGACAGCUGUGUGGGCUGUAAGCUGUGGAGAUGGUGCAAACAGUUGCUUAAUUUGUUUUUGUUUUUUAAAAAAAUAGAGUAGUUCAGUUGGAAGGGAUUUACAAAAAUGAUGCAGUCCAACGGCCUGUUGAACUCAGGGCUAAACAAAAGUCCAAGCGUGUUAACAAGGGCAUUGCCCAAAUGCCUCUUGAAUACCAGCAGGCAUGGGACAUCAGCCACCUCCCUCAGAAGCCUGUUCCAGCUUUGGCACCCUCCCAGGACAGGAUCUUUGUCUCGUGCCCAAGCUGUCCCUCCCCUGCUGCAGCUCCAUGCUGUCCCCGCACCGGGGUCCCCAGGGAGCAGAGGCUGGCGCCUGCCUCUGUGCUUCCCCUCCCCAGGGAGCUGCAGGGAGCAGUGUGGCCACCCCUUGGCCUCCUCUCCUCCAGGCUGGGCAGCCCAGGUGUCCUCAGCUUCUCCUCUCAGGACGUGCCCUCCAGCCCCUUCACCAGCUUCGCCGUGCUCAAGCACCUCAGGGACCUUUUUAUAUUGAACUUCAGAACUCCACGUGAUGCUCAAGGUGAGGCUGCAGCAGCACAACAUGCCGCAGGGGAAUCCCCUCAGGGGCUGGCCAUGCUGUGCUUCGUGUGCUCCAACGUGUGGCUUGUCCCCUUGGCUGCCAGGGCUCCUGCUGGACUGCUGCCACUGCCCCCCCAGCCCCUUCCUGCUGAGCUGCCCCCCAGCCCUGCUCCAUCCCAGGGGCAGCACCCGGCGUUCCCUGUGCUCAGCUUCAUGCUGCUGCUCAUUGCCUGCUGCCCCAACAUAGCCACAUCCCUCUGCAAGGCCCCUCGUCUCUUGACCGUGAACAGCAGCUGAGACUGAAAUGAGUUCUGAGAAUUGAACCCACAGAGAGGCUCAGCAGUGUGGAAGCAAGAACGGGUGGAGUAAUUUGACUUCUAACAGCAAGAUGCUACACAGAGUGGAGAGGAGCCACUAAGGAUGCAGCACUCCCCAGGAUCACACCAAGGAUUACUUCUGAGCCAUCCUUCUCUCUGGCAGCCAGGAGCCAAGAGCCAUACUCGCCUAACUAAUGAGGCAAACUCCCAGAUAAGGUCCCCCACAGGCUUUAAUUAAACCAUCUCAAUACCUCUGCUGUUUUUCAUCCCUGUUUCAGCUGCAAGGUGGGGUGUGCUGUCCCGGGCACAACAUCCUCAGGUUCCCAUUCCAGCCCAGCUCUGACGAUGUGUUGCUGCCAGCCGGUGCACCGACACGCACCUCCGUAAGGGUGGGCUGUGUGGGAAGAUGAAACAGCAUUUGGAUGUAUUAGCACGAAUAUCAAGCUGCUGUUGAUGUCAUGUUGUAUAAUUUUGUAUUUCUUAUUUUUUUCUUCAGGCAGAUAGUUGUCUUGAGAAUUUAAGCAGGUGCAUAGUUAGACUGAGACUUUCAGAACAUACAUUUUGGUCUUUAGUUCUUAACUAAUUUAGCUCCAGGGACAAUUUCUAGUAAAAUGCUGCUUGGAAACCUUUGUGACUGGAAGCUCCCUACCAGGGAGUGUUAUAUUUGUAACUGCCUAUUUAGAUACUGAUCUAAUGUUGAGAGGGUUAUGGUAUUUUUUGGUUUUGUUUUUAAAACCCACUUAGACCUAUUUUCACAGAGUACUCUUCGGGUGUCUAAUACAGGAAAAUGGCAGGUCCUGUAGGAAACUAUCUGAGAUCUCAGUAUUUCAGGAUAAGUUCUGUCUUAGAACUUCACUUUCUCUUAGUGGCCUCCAGAAAAGGAGUUCCCUACGCACAAAAUAAACACAUUGAAAGUCCCCAAAGUGAUGAAUUUGAACACUUCACAUGGAAUAUUCAGGGAAGCUUUUUUCCCCCCUGAACCUUGAGACACACUUUGCUUUCUUGCACGUUCCCAAAAUGCCCAUCAUCUCAGGGAAUAUGGAUUUCAAGGCUCAUAUUCAGUUGGACUGACUAAUUACUUGUGUUGUAAUGAUCAACCUGCCUAAUUUAUCACUUCUUUGAACAUUUAAUUAGCCAACAGUGCAAGACAAUUAGGUUCUGAAUUAGGAUAAAUUAAAAUGCUAGCUUUGCAGCUUUAAGGAUGUGCAAGCCACCACCAAUUGCUGCUAUGAAAAUAUUCAACAAAGCAGAUAAGAAUGCGAAGAUCUCAGCCAGGUUAAUGAUUCUGAAGUAACACAGCCUUUGAAAAGCUAACUAUGAAAUGUUAUGUUUCAUCACAUGUCAAUCUGUCUGUGCUGAAAGACAAAACCAAGAAGCUAAAAAUGGCAGUUUCCUCCUCCUCCCUGCACAGCUCCAGCUCCCACUGGCUCAUCCAACCACCCGCUCCUCUGCUCCUACCCCUGGGUCUCAGAGAUCCCACUUCAAUUCCCAUAUGCAUCCACUCAGGGGCAAGGUCACAUUUUGCUUUCCUGUAAGUGAAACACUAAUCUGUGUUCCUAAGUACUCUAAAACUGCUUUGGAACUGUCCCAGUAUCAGGCACGUAAAUGUUUUUGAACAGAUAUAAGAUAAUAAAACUGACUAUAGAGCUCUAAUAGGAAAAACGAGCAUUGGAAAUGGCUUAAGAUUAGUAGUCAGUGGAGAUGCUUUGGUAAAACUAGCAGAAGUGCUUUCAUUAUGUUUGCUGUCAUUUGGUUUCCAUGACUAAGCCAUUGUAAUAAACUGAAAAGGACCAGGGAUAAUACUUUCAAAGGUGCUCAAGAAUCACAGGCCUAAUUCUUGCUGUUUUUUCAAGAGACUCCUUCUCAGUCUCACACCUGCAGCAUGUAUUGAGGUGCCUGAUUUGUAUUUUCUCAGGAUUACUGUGGAAAGGAUGGGACUCUUGUCUUUGUAUGUUUGGUUAAAGCUGUGAUAGAAAAAAAUUGAUUGUCCAAAUCUUUGGGCUGUUUUGAAGUCUGAGUCUUUGUUCUUGAGGUCACUAUUGAAAUAGUCACCACACUGAAGGCACAUGCUUGUAGUACAGAGAUAAGGACCAGUGGAUGCAUUUCUUUCUUAUCUAAUGAAUGUGACUCUACAAAUGCAUUCAGAGUCUCCUGAAGAGCCCUAAGAGAUGCUCACAUACAUCUCUUAAUCGAGUAUAAGGCACCGAUUGAUACGGACACAAGUGGUUCUGAACAGCAAUCCCAGUUCCAAAUAAUUCUGACAACAUUUUUCAACGGUGUAUUUAGUGCUAAUUAGUCCAUUUUGGAUUGUUUGCCCAAACUACACAAUAAUAUCACUUCAUUAAAAAGGCUUCAAUUAAAGAAGAGAGAAAAAAGUUCUCAUCAGAAAGCUAUCUGCACGCAUUAUACAAGCAUUCUCAAAUUAGAGAUGAAAUUACAGCCUUCCUGUUACCAUGAGAACAGCAACAUUUCUCGCAGCCUGUUAAAAUUAUUAACUCAAGGAGCAUAUAUCUUUUUAAAUUUCAUUAUUAUUUAUUUGGGGUUGCACAAGCUUUGGCUGGGCCCACGCUAACCACUAUUAAUCACAUAUCAAGUGAACUAUUGCCAGCAUGGAGAGAGCCUCCACCAUUUUUUGCCAGCAGCUAUAAUUAGCUUUUAUCCUUCUGUUGCCUUUUUUUUUGUACUAGCAGUGUGUGGACAUUAAGGCAGAAACUGUUAUAAUGAAAAAAAAAACAAAAAGCAAAAAACAAAAACCAACAGAAAAGCUUAUGUCUCCAGGAAUCUUACAGCCUGUGCUCCAGAGCAGCUGGCGAGUUCAGCGGUGGUCUGAGUUCAAUGGUGUGGGGAAAAGGAAUGGUGGCGAGGGCUCAAAACACUUUGCUGCCAGCCCGUGCUUCCUGCGGGUUUCGCUGAUGGCAUCAGGUCACGCAAGAGCCUGAGUGUGAUGCAGCGACGUGCAGAGGCCAGCCUCGCUCGGGCAGGACAAGGGCUGCACGUUCUCCCUUCUGGCAGCGAUUCGAUCCUCGGGUGUGCGGCUGCCCUGUGCUCUCCUUCUCACCUCAGCAGCAAUCCUAACAGUUUGCCUUCAGCAGGGAGAAGGUGGAGGAAAGCUGCUGGGAGCAUUUGGCUCUGCGCAAGGAAGAUUAACGGCAGGAGUGAGGGUCUGCACCAGAGAGCCUGCUGUCAGCGUGUGCUGUCGGCAAAGCUGGCCUGAUUCAUGCCAUAUUUCAUGUGCUUCGCCUGCCCUGGUGGCUCAAAGGAGAUGAAGGGGACAUUCUGAAAAUGGGUCCAGCUGCCUCGUUACCCGCCAACACCAGAGUCGCUGAGGCUGCCUGGGCCAUCCAUCAUACUCCGGCUCCCUCCUGGCUGCCAGCUUUCAGGUUAUUCCAGGAGAGGGCAACUCAUUCGGGUGGAUGUCGGAAGAAUUCACACAAGCCUGAUCUACUAGACCAGCUCAAACAAGCCAGCCCAAGAUGUACAGCACGAGCAUGUGUUAGUACGCCUUGUCACAAGUUGAGCCCUUUCGGUGGACACGUUGGCUCUGAGGUGGUUGGGCCACACACUACAGACUUCCUGCACUCUGCAAGCGCAAUGCAAGGUUCUUGUAAUGUUGGAAAGCCAGAGCCCUGAGAACUGGGUGCAGAACAGGAGCUCCCUGCUGGUGCUUGCCAGCAGACCAGGAGGAAAACAGCCCCAUGACAGCAGCCCAGUAGGGAAGAGAGUGCAAGUGAGGAAGGGCACUUGGUUGGACCACUCGGGUCUCAUCUGCAUGAAAGAAGCUGUGAUAUUUUUAUUAAAAUGAAAGGUAAAGCUGCUCAGGGAGGAGGCCGGUGGUCCAUGCAGUCCGUGCCGUCAGACGAUUGGCAUCUGAACCUGUUGGCUGGCUUUUCGUUUUGGCCACUUCCAUGGCUGAAGACGUGAAGUGUGCCACGAGAAAGCUCAAAGGUGACAUACCUCGGGGUUGAAGCAUCCCAUGAGCGUGGUUGUGCUGAAUCCCUUCCUGCCAGGAUUCCUCCAAAACUCCCAGGGACUCCAGCCUGAAUAGCGAUGCUAGAAGACAAAAGGCAGAAGAGGAUGAAACUCUGCUUUUCAAAGGUCAAGCAGCAUCAGUAAUGAGAGCUGCACGUAGAGACAUCUAGCACAGGUCCUGAAAUCCUUGCCCCGGUACGGCGGCUCCACGACGCGUGGCAGCGCAGUUUGUGCCUUGCAGCAGAGGUGGUGCCAGGGAGCAGCGUGGAGCUGGUGCAGAGGAAUACUUACUAAGAGGAAUAUUUCUGUGGUAAAUAAUUGUCUUUGCCAGAACAAGUGAAAAGGAGGUGUGCCCAUGCCAUAAACCUGCACGCUUCCCCCAGCACACCCUUGUGUUUGGCCAUGCUGCUGCCAGGGAGGGGAGCUGGCUGGGUCUGUGUUUAUCCCAGCUGAGGCAAUAAGCUGGGACACGACCACCUAGAAGACCACACGUUCUGGUGCUUCACACCUUCAGGAGCUUUAUGAUUUUGGGACUUCAGCCUCCAUCUCCACGUUUUUUGAAAUCCAACAGAAGAAGUACGUUGUGUGAAAAGUCUCAAGUAAUAAAUCCAAAAGGGUCAAGAAACACCAGGGAAAUGCCGUAAUUCUGUGAAUGAUGAUUUAAAUCCAGCAUCUGCUCUUCAGCCCAGUCUGACCACAGGACCAUGGGGGCUGUGGGGCUGGUGAUGUUGCCGUCAGCACCAAGGCCCAUUUCCAGUGCUCUCAGAGUAUAAAGAAGACAGUACACACGUGCCCGCCUGCCCUGGGACAUGCUUUCUGUCGGUCUCCCUUCCUGAGCACUCUUCAAAGUCUUGGGUUUUCGUGACUAUGUCGUUAAAAGGAAAAGCAUUUGUUGCUUGUGUGAAUUUAGGCCAAAGGCCUUCAGGGGACAACGUGAUCUGGCACCGCAGGCACAAGUAGACGUAGAGCCAGACCUGGAAUCUGUGAGGCCCAAAGCUGAGGAAAACAUGGAGAAGCUGUGUGCCUGUGUGUUGCAAAGCAAGUAUUUGUAAUGUAGGGGUUAGUAAGGAUUUCCACGAUAGGUUUCCAUUUAGAAAAUCAGACCUUCAGUGAGUAUAAAAUGGAGUGCUAUUUUCAAUUUCAGUUCAUAAUUUGAUGUAAUUUGAACUAAAUAGUUGGAAGAAAAAAGAACUCUAAUCUCCAGAGAAACUAGAAUCCUGCUUUCACACAAUGUCCCUGGUAACAUUUUGAAGAACAGCAAUUCUUAAAGCAUAGAAGGAGAGGUUUGUUUCUGUAAGAGUGGAAAGUAAAUCUCGUCUAAAAGGUCAGUUAUCAGGAACAAACCUCACCAGAUUUUGUGCCAUAUUGUUUAAUUAUAAUGGAGGAUAAUUACUAUGGGAACAUCAGUAACAGCAGUAAUGUCAAUAUUUCAUAAAGCUUUUAUAGAUUACAGGAAUAGAUUGGAAAGUGUUGUAGUUCAUGAAAUAGCAAAAGCUGCUUGGGAAAAUUAUAUUUUUAUGGCAAUGACUCAUGUAGAGCUUUACACCACCUUUCUGGCCUGUGGUGGUCUCUUCAUCAGUUUACAUCUGCAAUGAGUCUUUCAUUUUUCCAAAUUUCAGAAGUCUUUUAAUUACUAUUAUAUGUUGCUGAUGAUCAAAGGUCAGGCCAGAAGCAUUAAGUUUGCCAAAUGAAAUUCGAUGUGUGUAACAUUGACUCUGUACCCCUAAUGUUCUCUGAACUGAGGCACAUCCAUUUGCUGUGAAAAGUUAUCUCUUUCUUAUGCCAUUUAGGGCAUCAUCUUGCAAAAAAACAAUUAAUCACCAAAGAUCCAGCCACUGAGUUCUUGCACAGAAAAUACUCAGCACUGGCAGGACAAGAUCCAGAGAGAAAACAGCUUAAGAAAUUUUUUCCUUACUCUGAAAGUAUGUACAUAUUUAUGAGAUGAGCUAGCUUUGGCACCUUGCAGAGCUCCUAGCUGCAAAAGCGGUAACCGCUGGAGUGAUUCAGUAGCCAGUUGUGUUCAGCGCAGCCAGAUAUGUUGCUGCUGACAGAAAAUAAGAACCCCACCACAAGAAAUGAAUGGGAAGUGCUGUAUGGUGUAAAACGUGCCUUAGAGAGCAGAAGCUCCUUGUCCUAAGUCCCCUGCUGGAGGUUUUUUGGGGGUUGGGUCCACCUGUGCUAUGUGAGGCCAAAUCCAGAAGUACUGCUGCUUUGUCACUACAAAAAUAACUUAUCAAUCCCGUCAACACAACCAAACUGUCAUUAAUACGUUCGUGUUUCUGAAAUGAUUCAGAGAACAGGAACAUAUUUCAGAGUGUAAGUCUGUGGGAAAUGAUUUGAGUAUUUUUUUUUGCUUGUCCAGAUUUUGCAUGAUCACGUUUCUACAUGUGGAUGUGGUGGUUUCUAAUCUCAUGGCUUCAAAGAUGUCUGUUCCAGAUAUUCCUGGUAUGGUUAUGAGGUGGAUGCUUCUUCCUGACGAGACGCAUGUUCAAAACCCCUGACUUGAUGUUCAUGCCAGGACAUUCAUUGCAAUUACCCUGAUUUGACAGCAACCGUUAAAGGAAAUAAAAAUGACAGCUUUGGAGCAGUCCUGUCGUGCAGCAUGAUGGCUCUUGGCAGCAGGAGACCUAAUCACCCUCCUGAAGAUGUCUGUUGAGAUCCCACGUCUGAAUAGCAAAGUGCUCAACAAAGCCACUGCACACCUGAGAUCUCCACCCAAGAAAGGCAGUGUCACUGAAAUGAAGUUGCACAAAACACAUCUUACAGUGGCAGGAUUUCUAUGAGACGAGCCCCGCUACCUUUGUACAGGAAAGUAAGGUGAUGGUAGACUGCCUGAGCCCUUGAAUCCAGUUCCCUGAACUUCAAGGCCCCUGUGUGGGAGGUGUCCAGCCAAGGAGGGCCUCCAGACGCGCGUUGUCCAGCUUGUACCAAUGUCAUUGGUACAAGCUUCCUGACGACGUGGUACAUUGCAGAAGGAAGUUGUCAUUGUCCUCACAUUGUACCCUGAGGAAUGGUUGGCAUCUGCAGCAAUACCUGCUCUCUUUCCAGUGUCUCUGGUUUGGUGCUCAAGGAAGUGGAGGGACCUAAUUUCACUAAAGGCUUAGGAAAAUCCUAGUCUGCUAUGAUCAGGAGCUACUGACACCCGCCGGCAGGUGAUGAAUUAGUGCAGCACAGUUGGAGCUACUCAAGGGCUGCAGAUGUGAAUCCUGGAGCUGUUCCUACGUCUAUUUGAGAACUGGAGGAGACAAAUUGGACAUCUGAUUGCUGUCCAUGACUCUUAGGAGGGGGAUGUGCAGAAGACAGAGACAGACUGACCUCAGAGAUGCGUAGGUUUAGCACACAGCAUUCCAUUGUGUCGGCCUGGUCCCAGCUGACUGUCGUUGUGCUUGGCCAUUAAGGACUCGUUCAGCUCUCUGCACUUCCCUGUGUGGCCCAUGGUGCAGCACAGUACAUUGGAAAGCAGUAGCCACUGCAACAUGACGUGGCACCUGAAAACUCAAAGGAGACACAGGCUUAUGCUGACUGUACAACUGUAUGGUUGGUAUUCUUCCUUUACACCUGCUCUGAAAGCAGGAAAAAACAGGUCUUAAGUGUAAUUCUAGCAGAAGAUAAUAAGACUUCUGCUUGUGUCAGAGGUGGUUUUUGGAUGCUGCUGGUGGUAUGCCCAAUCCGAGGGGACAGCUGAUUCAGCCACUGUGCAGUGCUGCUGGCCUGUUACAUCUGAGCAGCCCUCUGGAGCCUAGACAAGGUAAGAAGAAGUUAAGUGAGAUCCUGCAGCGGCUCAUUCAGCUGGGUGAGAUGCAUUUCAGCUUUGCAAGACCCCACAAACCAUCCUCACCAUUUCUAAGAAGCUCUGAGAAAUGGUUCCAAGCCAGAACUCGGGUGGCGGGGAGAAGAGGCACUAACACAAGUGUAACGGGGAACUAAGGAAAUAGCCUGCUGCUGCCAUGGAAGUGGAGAGGAUACCUCGGAGAGUCACUUCGGAUUUCCAGCUGCAGGAAUAUGUUGUUAUGAAUCUCUAUCAGAGCACUUGUAGUGCAGCUGGAGAGUAUGUCUGACAUUGCCUCCAGUGACCUUUUCAAUACAGUCCAAGUGCUGCAGAGCUGGUGUUUCAAGAGGAAUUCAAAUCGAAUUUACUCAGGCAGAAAGGAUUGGCCUGGGGAUAGCCCUACCACUCGCUUUGCGUUUCUCCUUGUCAUUCUCAUGGAAAUUGCAAUUCUUUAUGCAUGGUGCUUCUUCCUGUGCCGCAGCAAAUGUGUCCCAUUAAAUGGCAGCAACAGUACUGUGCUUCUCCAAGAGGCCCCAGGAUGAGGACACAGCAGUGGGGUGCUGAGGCUGUUUGCAGACGGUGCUGGCAGCAGCAGGAGUUGGAGGAUGGAGGUGCAGACUUCAGCACAACCCAUCUAAAGGUCACGGCAUGGCAAUGCGCCCUGGCACCCAAAAUUGGCUGGUGCACAUCAGGCACCCACUAAACGUGCAGCUCGUUGGCCUGUGAUGUGAACAGCAGAAGUUUGUAUAAGCUCCAGAGGCAGGUAGGGAAAUGCGCAGGGGAGAAAUUCACCUGGGGCUCUGCAAGACAGAGAGAGAGCCAGGCAGGAACAGCCAAGGAGCAACAUUGCGGUGUGUAACACUCGUGGCUCUGAGGUGAGGUCCCUGCCUUGCUGCAGGCAAGCCGUGAGUGUUGGGGGGGAAAUGUUGGUUUUCUUCCCGCGCUUUCCUGGCAUGGUGUGAUUAUUUCAUACAUGUUUGUAUGAGAGGUGCUUUAAAAUGUAAUUUCUUUGAUUAAUUUGGUGUCUGUAUUUUCACUGUUUUGUUCGCUCCAAUUUAUGACAAAAUUGAACAAAGUGGGUAACAAAAUAUAGCCCUGUCAGGCUCCUGUCUUCACGGAUAUAAAGAAAAAUGUGAAACUGUCAGGCACACAAAUGUGCCAAACCCCAAGGAAAAUUAUUACAUUCUGCUUGACAUUUACUUUAAUUUUACAAAAUUCUGUAAUACCAUUAUAAAUAAUAAUAAUAAAAAGCGGCAUGGAAAUAUU